AAGUCGUAACAAGGUUUCCGUAGGUGAACCUGCGGAAGGAUCAUUAACACGUAUCCACGUAUCAACCAACGCGAAUUGUUUUCAAUUUCUCCCUAUCGACGCAAGUCGGUAGGCAAUGAAACAAACUAUUUCCACACCUUUUUGCUAGUUGACUUUUCUACGUGUAUCCUCGUGAUACUCAUCGUUCAUAAUAAAACGAAGAAAACAACUCUUAGCAAUGGAUAUCUUGGUUCUC
rnacentral:misc_RNA from 1 species